rnacentral:rRNA from 1 species
CGUAGGGUGCAAGCGUUAAUCGGAAUUACUGGGCGUAAAGCGUGCGCAGGCGGUUUUGUAAGUCUGUCGUGAAAUCCCCGGGCUCAACCCGGGAAUUGCGAUGGAGACUGCAAGGCUAGAAUCUGGCAGAGGGGGUAGAAUUCCACGUGUAGCAGUGAAAUGCGUAGAGAUGUGGAGGAACACCGAUGGCGAAGGCAGCCCCCUGGGUCAAGAUUGACGCUCAUGCACGAAAGCGUGGGGAGCAAACAGGAUUAGAUACCCUGGUAGUCCACGCCCUAAACGAUGUCUACUAGUUGUCGGGUUUUAAUUAACUUGGUAACGCAGCUAACGCGUGAAGUAGACCGCCUGGGGAGUACGGUCGCAAGAUUA